rnacentral:rRNA from 1 species
AAGUGUGCCGCCUGGGGAGUACGGUCGCAAGAUUAAAACUCAAAGGAAUAGACGGGGACCCGCACAAGCGGUGGAGCAUGUGGUUUAAUUCGACGAUACGCGAAGAACCUUACCUGGCCUUGACAUAGACAGAAUUUUCCAGAGACGGAAAAGUGCUAGUUUACUAGAACUGUCAUACAGGUGCUGCACGGCUGUCGUCAGCUCGUGUCGUGAGAUGUUGGGUUAAGUCCCGCAACGAGCGCAACCCUCGUGUUUAGUUACUAACAGUUCGGCUGAGGACUCUAAACAGACUGCCUGGGUAACCAGGAGGAAGGUGAGGACGACGUCAAGUCAUCAUGGCCCUUACGGCCAGGGCUACACACGUGCUACAAUGGGGUAUACAAAGAGCUGCAAUACGGUGACGUGGAGCAAAUCUCAUAAAAUAUCUCCCAGUUCGGAUUGAAGUCUGCAACUCGACUUCAUGAAGUUGGAAUCGCUAGUAAUCGUAGAUCAGCAAUGCUACGGUGAAUACGUUCCCGGGUCUUGUACUCGCCGCCCGUCACACCAUGGGAAUUGAAUUCAUUCGAAGCGGGGAUGCUAAAAUAGCUACCUUCCACAGUGGAUUUAGUAACUAGGGUGAAGUCCUAGCAACAUA